rnacentral:rRNA from 1 species
UCGGAAUUACUGGGCGUAAAGCGUGCGCAGGCGGUUAUGUAAGACAGAUGUGAAAUCCCCGGGCUCAACCUGGGAACUGCAUUUGUGACUGCAUGGCUAGAGUACGGUAGAGGGGGAUGGAAUUCCGCGUGUAGCAGUGAAAUGCGUAGAUAUGCGGAGGAACACCGAUGGCGAAGGCAAUCCCCUGGACCUGUACUGACGCUCAUGCACGAAAGCGUGGGGAGCAAACAGGAUUAGAUACCCUGGUAGUC